GUUUUCGUAGUGUAGUGGUUAUCACGUUCGCCUCACACGCGAAAGGCCCCUGGUUCGAACCCGGGCGAAAACA
rnacentral:tRNA from 1 species